UGUACCUACGGGGGGCAGCAGUAGGGAAUUUUCGUCAAUGGGCGCAAGCCUGAACGAGCAAUGCCGCGUGAACGAGGAAGGUCUUCGGAUCGUAAAGUUCUGUUGAAGGGGAAAAAGAGCGGAGAGAGGAAAUGCUUUCUGAUUGAUAUUACCCUUCGAGGAAGUCACGGCUAACUACGUGCCAGCAGCCGCGGUAAUACGUAGGUGGCGAGCGUUAUCCGGAAUGAUUGGGCGUAAAGGGUGCGUAGGCGGCCUGCUAAGUCUGCGGUAAAAUUGCGGGGCUCAACCCCGUCGAGCCGUUGAAA
rnacentral:rRNA from 1 species